rfam:Glycine max cultivar Williams 82 chromosome 2, whole genome shotgun sequence.
GCCUGCUUAGCUUAGAGGUUUGAGCAUCGCAUAUUUUGUAAUGCGAUGGUCAUCGGUUUGAAUCCGAUAAUCGACU